UUCAACACAUCCUUAAUGGACUUGGCUUUUCCUUCCAUCAUAUUAACGUUCGCACCACCAUGCUGGGGCAUGGGAUUGUUAACGACAUUCGGAGCCGGUGCAAGGUCGAUGGCCUUUGAAUCUAUGAGGUCCUGAACUACGUGCUUAAAAGCUUUGCAGUUCUCAAUAUUGUGGCCAGGUGCCCCAGAGUGGAAGCUACACCUAGCGUUGGCGUCG
rnacentral:lncRNA from 1 species